AUUGAACGCUGGCGGCAGGCCUAACACAUGCAAGUCGAACGGUAACAGGAAGCAGCUUGCCGCUUUGCUGACGAGUGGCGGACGGGUGAGUAAUGUCUGGGAAACUGCCCGAUGGAGGGGGAUAACUACUGGAAACGGUAGCUAAUACCGCAUAACGUCGCAAGACCAAAGAGGGGGACCUUAGGGCCUCUUGCCAUCGGAUGUGCCCAGAUGGGAUUAGCUAGAAGGUGGGGUAACGGCUCACCUAGGCGACGAUCCCUAGCUGGUCUGAGAGGAUGACCAGCCACACUGGAACUGAGACACGGUCCAGACUCCUACGGGAGGCAGCAGUGGGGAAUAUUGCACAAUGGGCGCAAGCCUGAUGCAGCCAUGCCGCGUGUAUGAAGAAGGCCUUCGGGUUGUAAAGUACUUUCAGCGGGGAGGAAGGGAGUAAAGUUAAUACCUUUGCUCAUUGACGUUACCCGCAGAAGAAGCACCGGCUAACUCCGUG
rnacentral:rRNA from 1 species